CAAUUUUUAUUUUAAGCAAAAAAUAUAAUGUUUGGGACCUUAAGAUUUUAAAAAUUGA
rnacentral:tRNA from 1 species